UUAGCUGUAGUUAUUUUGCAUAGAAAGUCAUGUCAUUUUGAUGACAAAUUUUCUAAAAUCUGUCUUGAUCAGUCUUGGCUUUAAUUGAAUUCCUAAGUUAACUGGAAUCUAUUUGUCUUUUCAUAGAAAUAGUCUAGGAGUUCUUCUGUGGCUCAGCAGGUUAAGGAUCUGGUGUUGUCACUGAGGUGUCUUGGGUCACUUCUGUGGCACAGGUCUUGGCUCAAGAACUUCCAUGUGCCACGGGAGCAUCCAAAAAAAAAUUUUUAAAAAGUAAAAGAAGUGUUCUGAAAUUAGGUUAUUCCAGUGGGAGGGAGUAGGCAGGCUUCAUGAGGCUUUGCAGUUCUAUCUUUGUUGGAGUGUUGCUUUGUUUUCUGAAAUAUAUUUUUUAAUUCCCUAUAUCAUUCAUAUCUCAUAGUUGGAAGUAUAUAUCUCAUUUCCAUGUGUGAAUAUGCUAAAGUUUUGAUCAUUCUCCUAGUUUACCAUGAAUCUCUAAGGAAAAAAAAAUGUAUAUAUAUAUACACACAAACACACAAAGGGAGAGAAGCUCUGCUGAGAUCUUGAAAUCCUCAAUGAUAAAUGGAGCUUUUAAUCAUAAGGAUUUGAAAAAUAUAUUUCUUUGGUCUGCCUAUUAAUAACCUCAGAUUAAGAGGUAUUGUUGAGACUUCCCAGAAUUUUUUUCACUUUGUCUAUAUUCCUGUACCACUUGUAAGCACCAGAAUUGGGAGCAGGAGCUGUCAAGAAUACUCAGUAUCUUCUUUGGCAGCCACUUCUACUCUUUGCUCCAGGUUACGUACAGCUGGGACUGCUGCUACCUGAUUGCAAGAAUUAUAUAAGACCAAGAUAAUGAAGGCUAGAUUUAAAAAACAUAAAGCCUAAACCUGUGUGUGCUAUGGUAAAAACCUGCAUUCCAUGAGGCAAAGCUUGAGUGGAUAAUGGACAUCUUUCAUAUUCUCCGGCUCAAUGAAUUGAAGCAUUCUCAUCUUUUGAAUCCCUCUACUCCAAAGAAGAAGCCAGCAGUCUUGUCCGGGACCCAGCCCAGUACCCAAGGCUCAACUCCACAUCACUUCCAGGUAAGCAUUUUGGGUAUACUGACACCUCUGUGUCUCUUCAUUCACUUAUACAAUGAUUCUCUUUGGGUUCUGCAUCUUUUUCCGGUCUAGUUAGCGUGGCUGGGGUGGGUUAUGAGGCACACAAGGAAAAAAAUCUCAAGGGUUGAGUAUGAACAGAUCAAAUGAGAAGGGGAAGUUGGCAUGGAAAACUGAUUGCCACAUUCAGUGAAACAUUCAAACUUAUAAGUGGAUUUUCUGAUGAAUUAUUUAUGGUUUCCUCCUCCCCUCUUGCCUUUACUUUUCUUUUCAUAGAAUACCAGAGGAUAAAAGAAUUGAGCUAUAGGUCUAAAGCAAUAUUUUGGAAUUCCUUUAAUUAAACAAUAAGUUUAUGACUCAGGGACAGAGCAAAUAUAUCUGCUCCUCCUAACACACGCAUACACACACACAUACACACACACACCCCCACCUAUCCCAAGUACUUAGCAUAUACAAAUACACAGAUAAAUACUUAACAAAUAUUCACUAAAUGACAAAUAAAUAAAUGAGUGAAUGAAUGAUUGGACA
rnacentral:lncRNA from 1 species